AAAGAAGUCUAAUUGAGAGGCAGAAGCUGAAGGUGGUAGGAAUGCUAAUGGGAUCCUGCUGGGGUCAGAUAAUGAACUCUGCUGGAAGUCUGCUGGAUGCUCUGCUGCAGAGUCAUAGUCAGGGUCGGAGUUUAAUCAACUUUAGGGUUAAUUGGAGCCACAGAAUCAAGUGUGGGUUCCUGGAGACCAGGGAGGUGAAGGUAGGUCCAGAUAAGAUCUGGACAGAUAAAUGAGUGGACAGCAGCUCCAGCUGAACCAACAGCCUAUGGAUGGAUGGUGAUUCAAGCUCCCUGAAGACAAGCAUAGGUCUAUGACACUUGUGUUACAACUGCAGUGCCAUACUGUUCCCAGGUUCCUGAUGUGUCUAGUACCAGAGAGAUGGGAAGGUCCUAUAGAGUAAGUCUAGUUGCUGCUUGAUUUUCUCUACUGCAAGCAUAACAUAAAGACACCACGUCCUGCCUGCGGUCACAUGUCUGCUCAGCCAAGAAUUAACAGGGUUCUUAGAUGAGCUUGAAGGCUUCGCUGAAAUACAUCUCUCAGAGAUUUAACGUUCUCCAAAAUUGAAACCUUAGCUUGAUCCACAAUCUCUUUAUCCAUUAAUUUUUAGUUUUAGAUUUGCUAUAUCAUUUUCUGUGGAGAUCUUUUGGGGGCCACUUGGCAGGAAUCUGACAUUGGGCCAGGACAAGGAAGUGGGCUUCAGAUAGAAAUUUGACAUGGGCCAUGACGAGGAAGUAAGUUCAGGCAAGAAUCUAAUUUUAGGCCAGAACAAAGAAGUAGGCCUCAUGUAAGAAUAUGAAUUUGGGCUAGGACAGGGAAGUAGGCUCAGAUAUCUUGGUCAUCCUGAUAAUCCCUUCGGAACAGUGAUCACGGGACUUUGUUUAUUGCCUUGCUUGUUCCUUGACUAUUUGUGUUUAUUGUACUGCUUGACCUUAUUACUUGCAUGUAAUUAAAAUGGCAUAAAAGCAGAUUGGGAAAAAAUGUGCCCGCCUCAGCUUCAGAACUGGCUGGGGUCAUGCUACAAUGUUGUCUAAUUGUCUUUUUCCUUUUUAAUCCUCACUCCUGCCCUGAAGAAUCUGUUGACUGACUGAGUGGGCUUAGUCAAUUUUCCUUUCUUUUGGUUCGUUUUGUGGUUAUUUUAUUACAGGCUUAAACUGAGAAUUUAAAUCUGUUUCCUACUUUAAAAAAAUAAAAGCAUUGAAUCCAUAAAUUCCUUCACUGGAUAGCUGUGGCCAAUUGCAGUUACUACCAGCUAAUACUACUAUUGCUAUAGAAAUUCUAAAGAGUGUGCGCCUUCAGCUCUACUUUCUGACUGUUUUAUGUUUUUAGAAGAGCAAUGACAUCUUUCCAUGUGAAAUUAAUUUUUGUCACCUUUUUUGUUUAUUAAACUAAACACUGCCUCCUCUAGACCUGUUAGCAUUUUACUAAAAUGUUUACUUUUAUAUUAUAUAAAACUCAUGUUAAAAAUAGUUUGUUUUCUGUCAACCUAACUACUUUAGAAAAAUUAUUUUUGAAUCCACUGUAAAUUUUAUGUGGCAUAAAACAAUUUUUAAAAAUCUGCGCACU